rnacentral:miRNA from 1 species
AAGUGUGUGUGCAUGUGCAUGUGUGUGUGCGUGCACGUGCACGUGCACACACACACACACACACACACACACACACACACAC